UACGGAGGGAGCUAGCGUUGUUCGGAAUUACUGGGCGUAAAGGGCGCGUAGGCGGACCGUUAAGUUAGGGGUGAAAUCCCGGGGCUCAACCUCGGAAUUGCCUUUGAUACUGGCGGUCUUGAGGACGGGAGAGGGUCGUGGAAUUCCCAGUGUAGAGGUGAAAUUCGUAGAUAUUGGGAAGAACACCGGUGGCGAAGGCGGCGACCUGGACCGUAUCUGACGCUGAGGCGCGAAAGCGUGGGGAGCAAACAGG
rnacentral:rRNA from 1 species